UUCAUUUGUCGUUUCUUGGUUUUGUCCUUUUGUGGUACUGUGUGUAACAGGAGUAAGUCUUCCUCUCCACGUUUGGUUCUGCGAGAUAGGUUUUGUUCUUUUUCUUCUGUGAAACUGGUCUUAUUUUUAGCUUUGCGGUACAGAUUUUUGCCUCGGUUUCAUGUCGUGUGGGUGUUAUCUGAUUCUGUGUGGGUUUUUCUCGUGUGGGUGUUAACUGGUGGUGAGAUUUUCCCUCCCAAUUGAAAUUGCCCUAAUUUGAAAUUUUCGGGGUUCUAUAAAUUGGGCAUAAUUGUUCAUAUUUCUUCAGCCACGGGUUGUGUAUAAAUUAGGGAUGGAAAGGAUUGACGAUGCAGAAUGAAUGAACAUGGAGCACACACAACAACGGCGACAGCCUCCGAUGUAGAGAGAUUGCUAUUCAUGAGACUGAGUAAAUAGGGAGGUAUUGAUUUAUAAUUGAAAGGGCAAAUUGGAACCAGUUGUGUUUGCUUUAAUAACAUGUUUACAGUCUGGCUUCAGAUUCAAAGUCCUGGGAAGGAAUGCAUAAUGUUUGGGUGUUUUGGCACAGAACGGAUGAAACAUUACUUGCUGGCUUUGCUACAAACUAGAAGCGUUAAUGAAUGCAUUCUCUUUUUAAACACUUUAAUAUUUCAUGUCUCCUAAAUUACCAUUUUUGUUAACUAAUCUUUUUCUGGCUCCAUCAUCCCUAUUUGUUUUUGUUUCAUAUUUUUAAACCAGUUUAAUUUAAUAUAGACAUGAUAAAUAGUGGGUACACUUGCAGGAGUGAGAUUGAUAAGGCAAGCGAGUAUUUGACUGAAUAGUUGGUGUUGUAUACAUAUGGUGAAACAUAAUGGCUCAAUUGAAACUGAGAUUCUCAAUACCAUAUAUUGUAAGUCAUAAUAUUAGUUGUUUACUAUGUGGUCUUUUCUUUGUAAAUUUGGUAACAGCUUUAAAAUCAUCUUACCCACCAAGUAGUAUAUUGGUUUACUCUUUUGUUUUGUGACUGGGAGAUGGUAUCCACAAAUGUACUUUUUUUAUCUUUACAAAUACAAUGCUUGAAUGUUAAUGCCACUGAUACAUAAACAAGUAAUCUUUUUAUUGCUUUCAAUUCGGCCAUUAGUUGAUUUAUUAUUUUUCUGUUCUAAAAUGAAAUUGCAUCUUUAGUUUUGUUUUUGUUGUGAUAAUUGUUUAUGGAUGUGAAGAGAAGACUUAUAGUUAUAACUAUGAAGCUUAUUUGAUAGUUUAAAUUUGAUGUUUUUAUACUCUAAUGUAUCUCAAAACAUGGUUUGUGAGUUUUUUGAAAAACCAAUUUGAAUGACCAUGCCACUGAUACAAAAUUUGAUUUAAACAUAAAUAAGCCAAAGAAAAUAAGAAUGAAUAUAAACAUGCUUUCAAUAUAUCAGUAGGUACUACUACCGUGUGCAGGCAAAUGUGUAGUUAGCUAACUGAAGCUUAGAUAAAUAAGUUGUUUUUUACCUUAUAAGCUGCUUAAAUACUAUCCAUUGCCUUUUUAGAUAUCAUAUGUUUAUAAUUCUGUUAUUUUAAAUUAUUGUAUAGCCUCAUGAAAGUUACCGACAUGUUUGGUGAAUGAAUUUCGUGUAUACAUUGGUAAUUAUGCAAUCUUGCAAGAUCCAAGUAGGCAUUGGAUGGUGCAGUUGGUUAUACAGGGAUAAUGGCAUAUAGAUAUAAUUUAGUUGACUUCUCACAACCUUAUAUUGAAUCUGACCUCCACAUGGUGGUUACUGAACAACCAGCAAAAUCAAAAACAUGGAAAUUUUUGGAUGCCUUUACAAAAGACAUGUGGCUUUUGAUAGCAGCUAUUCAUAUUUUUGUAGGCUUUGUUAUUUGGUUGUUUGAAAGGGAAGAUAAUCGAGAUCUAAGGGGAAUUGGUUCCAUGCUAUGGUUUUUAGUCAAUGUACUAUUUUAUGCACACAGAGAACCAACGCAGGGAACAUUUUCCAACUAGGUGGCUUUGGCUUUGUUAUUUCAAGGAUGGUUGCUAUGACUUGAAAUUUUUUAUGAUAUUGGUUUAGGUGUUUGGGUUACAAUCUUAUUUGUAAGCCUUGAAUAAAAAUAGCAAGGCAAAUAUUCUCACACCUUGCCAUGUUGAAUAUGAAUGAGAAUUACUUAUGUCCUUUUUGAAACCAAUCUUGAAUUGUGAGCACAAUAAAGAAAAAGCACAUGUUGUAAAAAUAGCUUAACUUUCGCAUCUUUAAUUAGUUCACUACAAAUUACCUGCAA